CUCCGCCGGCAGCCAACGGAACCUGGAAGUCGUCACCCUAGCCACCGGAUUGGUCGGCGGCGAAACGAUCCUUUCGCAAGUGCCGUUGAGCGCCGCCGUCAUAAUUUUUCCGGCACCGGGAACUUGUUCAGUUACAACCACGGGUUGAUGUUCAUGCAGGAGCUCUUGGGGUCCGUGCCGCUUGUCCACGUGGAGGACGUGAGUGAGGCGCUAGUUUUC
rnacentral:lncRNA from 1 species